rnacentral:rRNA from 1 species
CACGUAGGGUGCGAGCGUUGUCCGGAAUUAUUGGGCGUAAAGAGCUCGUAGGCGGUGUGUCGCGUCGGCCGUGAAAACUUGGGGCUUAACUCUGAGCGUGCGGUCGAUACGGGCAUCACUUGAGUUCGGCAGGGGAGACUGGAAUUCCUGGUGUAGCGGUGAAAUGCGCAGAUAUCAGGAGGAACACCGGUGGUGAAGGCGGGUCUCUGGGCCGAUACUGACGCUGAGGAGCGAAAGCAUGGGGAGCGAACAGG